rnacentral:rRNA from 1 species
UACAGAGACUGCAAGCGUUAUUCGGAUUCACUGGGCGUAAAGGGUGCGCAGGCGGCCAAGUGUGUUAGGCGUGAAAGCCCGGGGCUUAACAUCGGAAUUGCACCUCAAACUACACGGCUAGAGCAUUGGAGAGGGUAGCGGAAUUCACGGUGUAGCAGUGAAAUGCGUAGAUAUCGUGAGGAACACCAGAGGCGAAGGCGGCUACCUGGACAAUUGCUGACGCUCAGGCACGAAAGCGUGGGGAGCAAAAGGG